GGAUCAAUAUAUUGGUCAUGCUUAGGUAUGUACUGGUAUUAUUGAUUUCUCCCUUCUGAAGAACCAUGAUGUCAUUUAUUUGAUGUCGUGGGGAAUCGGGACUGUUACUUUGAAAAAAUUAGAGUGUUUAAAGCAGGCUUUCGCUUGAAUACAUUAGCAUGGAAUAAUGAAAUAGGACGUUUGAUUCUAUUUUGUUGGUUUCUAGGAUCGACGUA
rnacentral:rRNA from 1 species